UACGGAGGGUGCAAACGUUGCUCGGAAUCAUUGGGUGUAAGGCGCACGUAGGCGGUCUGUUAAGUCGGAUGUGAAAGCCCCGGGCUCAACCCGGGAAGUGCAUACGAAACUGGCGGACUUGAAUAUGGAAGAGGGUCGCGGAAUUCCCGGUGUAGAGGUGAAAUUCGUAGAUAUCGGGAGGAACACCAGUGGCGAAGGCGGCGACCUGGGCCAAUAUUGACGCUAAUGUGCGAAAGCGUGGGGAGCAAACAGG
rnacentral:rRNA from 1 species